GGGUUGUGAGGUUAAGCGACUAAGCGUACACGGUGGAUGCCCUGGCAGUCAGAGGCGAUGAAGGGCGUGCUAAUCUGCGAUAAGCGCCGGUAAGGUGAUAUGAACCGUUAUAACCGGCGAUACCCGAAUGGGGAAACCCAGUGUGACUCGUCACACUAUCAUUAACUGAAUCCAUAGGUUAAUGAGGCGAACCGGGGGAACUGAAACAUCUAAGUACCCCGAGGAAAAGAAAUCAACCGAGAUUCCCCCAGUAGCGGCGAGCGAACGGGGAGGAGCCCAGAGCCUGAAUCAGCAUGUGUGUUAGUGGAAGCGUCUGGAAAGGCGCGCGAUACAGGGUGACAGCCCCGUACACAAAAGCGCAUGUGCUGUGAGCUCGAUGAGUAGGGCGGGACACGUGGUAUCCUGUCUGAAUAUGGGGGGACCAUCCUCCAAGGCUAAAUACUCCUGACUGACCGAUAGUGAACCAGUACCGUGAGGGAAAGGCGAAAAGAACCCCGGCGAGGGGAGUGAAAAAGAACCUGAAACCGUGUACGUACAAGCAGUGGGAGCCCCACCACCAAAGCAUUCUCUGGUGUUGAAGGCCCUGCAAAGCAGCAUCGCGGUGGCGGAGCGUCGUUUGCGACGCCCAACACACAAAACAAGCGGUGAGUGCUUUG
rnacentral:rRNA from 1 species